rnacentral:misc_RNA from 1 species
GAUGAAGAACGUAGCGAAAUGCGAUAAGUAAUGUGAAUUGCAGAAUUCAGUGAAUCAUCGAAUAUUUGAACGCACAUUGCGCCCGCCAGUAUUCUGGCGGGCAUGCCUGUUCGAGCGUCAUUUCAACCAUCAAGCCCCCGGCUUGUGUUGGGGACCUGCGGCUGCCGCAGGCCCUGAAAAGCAGUGGCGGGCUCGCUGUCACACCGAGCGUAGUAGCAUACAUCUCGCUCUGGGCGUGCUGCGGGUUCCGGCCGUUAAACCACCUUCAUAACCCAAGGUUGACCUCGGAUCAGGUAGGAAGACCCGCUGAACUUAAGCAUAUCAAUAAGCGGAGGA